CAGCCGCCACGGUAAUACGGAGGGCGCGAGCGUUACCCGGAUUUACUGGGCGUAAAGGGCGCGUAGGCGGCCUGGGGCGUCCCAUGUGAAAGGCCACGGCUCAACCGUGGAGGAGCGUGGGAUACGCUCAGGCUAGAGGGUGGGAGAGGGUGGUGGAAUUCCCGGAGUAGCGGUGAAAUGCGCAGAUACCGGGAGGAACGCCGAUGGCGAAGGCAGCCACCUGGUCCACUUCUGACGCUGAGGCGCGAAAGCGUGGGGAGCAAACCGGAUUAGAUACCCCCGUAGUCCUGUCUCUUAUACC
rnacentral:rRNA from 1 species